rnacentral:rRNA from 1 species
GAUGAACGCUGGCGGCGUGCCUAAUACAUGCAAGUCGAGCGAACAGACGAGGAGCUUGCUCCUCUGACGUUAGCGGCGGACGGGUGAGUAACACGUGGAUAACCUACCUAUAAGACUGGGAUAACUUCGGGAAACCGGAGCUAAUACCGGAUAAUAUAUUGAACCGCAUGGUUCAAUAGUGAAAGACGGUUUUGCUGUCACUUAUAUAUGGAUCCGCGCCGCAUUAGCUAGUUGGUAAGGUAACGGCUUACCAAGGCAACGAUGCGUAGCCGACCUGAGAGAGUGAUCGGCCACACUGGAACCGAGACACGGUCCAGACUCCCACGGGAGGCAGCAGUAGGGAAUCUUCCGCAAAGGGCGAAAGCCUGACGGAGCAACGCCGCGUGAGUGAUGAAGGUCUUCGGAUCGUAAAACUCUGUUAUUAGGGAAGAACAAAUGUGUAAGUAACUAUGCACGUCUUGACGGUACCUAAUCAGAAAGCCACGGCUAACUACGUG